UGCCUUGGGAAGGAGCACACUGUUCUCCAUGUCAGCACAAGAUGGCUAAUUGUCCUCCCAAAUGACACUUGGUCUUAGUCCAGGAACACAAGACAACAAAUCAUACCCACAAAUCAGACCACUUGGCUAUUUAAACCAGCCCAAUGUGGGUUCUUCUGCACAGGACUUCGGUUGGCUUCUCCAAGAGCGAACGUCUUCUCAUUCCUGGAGACAAAGACCACUAGCUUGCGAGCACCAGUUCCAGCUCCAUCCAUCAUGAAGCAUCUUCUGAUCUUGCUGUCUCUUCUGGCUCUCAUGAGCUGCACAAGGGCCAAACGCGUGGAAUGCACGGGCCCAGUUACCUGUUCUGAGAGUGCUGGCAGAAAAAUAUGUCGUUGUCAGAGCUCAAUUGGCUACAUAGAUACUGUCAGCGCGGGUAAAAGAGAUGUAGAGGCAGCUACUAUGGCCAAUAAAAACUGAGGCGCAGAUUGGGAUCAACCCAGAUGCUCAGCAGGUUCACCAAAUGAUCUCAAUGGCUUACCUUC